rnacentral:rRNA from 1 species
UACAGAGGGUGCGAGCGUUAAUCGGAAUUACUGGGCGUAAAGCGUGCGUAGACGGUUAUUUAAGUCGGGUGUGAAAGCCCCGGGCUCAACCUGGGAAUUGCAUUCGAGACUGAAUAGCUAGGGUACGGUAGAGGGAAGCGGAAUUCCCGGUGUAGCGGUGAAAUGCGUAGAGAUCGGGAGGAAGGCCGGUGGCGAAGGCGGCGCUCUGGAACGUUUCUGACGCUGAGGCUCGAAAGCGUGGGGAGCAAACAGG